AGUGAACGCUGGCGGUAGGCCUAACACAUGCAAGUCGAACGGCAGCACAGGAGAGCUUGCUCUCUGGGUGGCGAGUGGCGGACGGGUGAGGAAUACAUCGGAAUCUACUCUGUCGUGGGGGAUAACGUAGGGAAACUUACGCUAAUACCGCAUACGACCUACGGGUGAAAGCAGGGGACCUUCGGGCCUUGCGCGAUUGAAUGAGCCGAUGUCGGAUUAGCUAGUUGGCGGGGGAAAGGCCCACCAAGGCGACGAUCCGUAGCUGGUCUGAGAGGAUGAGCAGCCACACUGGAACUGAGACACGGUACAGACUCCUACGGGAGGCAGCAGUGGGGAAUAUUGGACGAUGGGUGCAAGCCUGAUCCAGCCAUACCGCGUGGGUGCAGAAGGCCUUCGGGUUGUAAAGCCCUUUUGUUGGGAAAGAAAUCCAGCUGGCUAAUACCCGGUUGGGAUGACGGUACCCAAAGAAUAAGCACCGGCUAACUUCGUGCCAGCCGCCGCGGUAA
rnacentral:rRNA from 1 species